AGGACAUCAAGCUGUCUGAAAAUUGUAUGUUUUACCGGCUUUCGUGUGGAUUUUCUCUAAAGACUUGGGGUAGAUUAAAGCAUUCGUUUAAUUGUUUUCACCUAAACUAUAUUGACCUUGCAUUCAUCAUACGAAUGAAAACUACCGAACACCGGACCACCCUGAUACCUAAUUAUGCUUCAAUUUACCUCCCUGUUUGGCUAAUACAUUCAUAUUGAA